AUCAACCUUCACCCAAGAGAAAAGAAAUAAAUUCUCACUUCCUUUCCAAGCAAGCUAAAGCCGACCCUCUCUUCUUCUCCUCUCUUUUGUUCUCCAAGAAACCAAACUCCUCUAUUCUCCUUCAAGCCAAGCAUCCAUUUUUCCUUCUCCUCAAGAGGAAAAUAGCAAGAUUUGGGGUUUAAAACAGUGAUAUCGUGUUCCUCUUCAUCCACACGGCUAUACCUCUAUUUGGUCUUCCACUUGUGUUUUGAAAGGGGCUAAGAGCUUAAGGACCUAUAUUGAUGAUGGAAGUAUCGAGGAGCAUAGAGGUAAUGACGAAAAGGCUAGGGAGCAAGGCAUUACUAUAGAGGGAGAGGCAGAUGCUUAGGACCUUCCCUAACGAGAACAGUUAUGUUACGGAUGAUGGGUUAUGUUUAUGUAUAGACGUUUUAUGUUGGGAUGGACUCUGAAAGUCUCUUAUGGAUGAAUGUUCGAAUA